AAAUUUGAAAUCUGGCGCCUUCGGUGUCCGAGUUGUAAUUUGAAGAAGGUAACUUUGGUUUUGGCUCUUGUCUAUGUUCCUUGGAACAGGACGUCACAGAGGGUGAGAAUCCCGUGCGAUGAGAUGCCCAAUUCCAUGUAAAGUGCUUUCGAAGAGUCGAGUUGUUUGGGAAUGCAGCUCUAAGUGGGUGGUAAAUUCCAUCUAAAGCUAAAUAUUGGCGAGAGACCGAUAGCGAACAAGUACAGUGAUGGAAAGAUGAAAAGAACUUUGAAAAGAGAGUGAAAAAGUACGUGAAAUUGUUGAAAGGGAAGGGUUUGAGAUCAGACUUGGUAUUUUGUAUGUUUUACUCUCGGGUGAGGCCUCUGCAGUUUACUGGGCCAGCAUCAGUUUGGAUGGUAGGAUAAUGACAUUGGAAUGUGGCUCUUCGGAGUGUUAUAGCCCUUGUUGAUACUGCCUAUCUAGACUGAGGACUGCGUCUUUGACUAGGAUGCUGGCAUAAUGAUUUUAAACC
rnacentral:rRNA from 2 species